AGCAGCCGAGUCCAGCGAUGUGGACAGCCAGAUGCAUGCUUGGUGGAGGCAGCCGGCGCCCCCAUGCUGGUCUCAGUCAUCAGUUCCAUCAGUGACAAAUGCUGCUGGGGCCCAUGAGGACCACCCAUGCCACUCACAUGUGGCUUUCCUUCUGGGAUCUGCUAGCUUCUGAGAUGGCCAAGGCAGAUGCGCUCAUGGCUCAGUGAGAAGGUGAACGUCACCUCUGUGUUCAGUGCUAAUGGAGACUGGAGUAACGACGUCUGGUCCGCGUUAAGGCAGGCAGCUCAGCGGCCCACACCUUUGGUUUUUUGGUCUCAGGCCCAUUAUGGGUAAGCUGGUGUGGGGUGGGGCAAGGGAGUUUCAGGGGCUGGAAGGGCCUCAUGGCAGCCCCACGUAGAGGCUGCCUGGCCCCUGGACUGGCCCCACCGAGGGGAACAGGACAUUGCAGCUGGGCUUGGGGAAGAAGGGAGGCCUGUCCUUUUGAUUCUUCUUUCUGGCACCCUGUGUGUGCACGUCUGUGUAGGUGUGUGUACACCUGCACACAUGCCUAUAGUUUCUUUCCACUUGGAAUUGGUUUUGACAAAAAGGUGCGUCAGCUUCCCAAGCUGGUGCCUGCAACAGUGAGGGAUGGAGCCUCAUCCUCAUCCCAGAGCCACACCCUCAGCUUACCCGGGAAAAGGCAGUGGCUUCUUCUGAUGCAUGGAUACAGCCCCCACUACGGAGCUGGGGAGGGAGCUGCAGGCAGCCUUGACUCCAGACCAAAUUCAAAGGACCUGCCUCUUCCAAAGGCCUCCCUCCAAGGGCCACGGGGACCCCAUGACCGUCCUCUCAUCCCAAGCUGGCUGCAUGGGGCGGGCUGGUUUAUACGCAGAUAAGACUGCACCCGCUGAUGAGGUCAGAUGCAGUUGAACCCCGGUGCUGCAGAUGAGGAGUCUGCAGGUGGGGUGAUGCUGACAGGCAGUUGUGGAAGGCCGGGUAGUGGCAGCCACGUGGCAGAGGAGGGGGUGGGAGACCUGGGGCAGGGAUGGGACAGCCAUGGGGUGGAGGAGACUGCACCCCGUGGGAAGGACAGGCCAGUGGCCAGCCCCGAGGCCGCCCUGGCUCCUGUCAGCAUCCCGGGUCCAGUCCACUGUCAUCCUCAUCUGAACACCCUGACUGCAUGUAACACCAGGGCAUCUGCUUCCUGGCCUCUGCAGGGCCACUCUACAGCCUCUGACGCUAUGUGCCAUGGUCUCAGGGUCAGGGCCAAGAGCACUGUGAUAGCGAAUUUCGUGUGUCAACUUGAGUGGGCCCUGGGUGCCUAGACAUUUGGCCAGGCAUUGUUCUGGGUGUGCUGUGGGUGUUUCCCGGUGAGAUUAGCAUGUGAAGGGGUGGCCCUCCCCAGGGUGGUGGGCCUCGUCCAAUCAGUUGGGGGCCUACAUAGAGCCAAAGGCUGAGUGAGAGGGCCUCCUCCUGUGACUGCUGCAGCUGGGACUUUGGUCUUUUCCUGCCUUUGGGCUUGGACUGAAAUGCCAGCUCUUCUUGGGUCUUCAGCCCUCAGGCUGGAACCUGUAGCAGCAUUUCUCCGGUUCUUGGGCCUUCAGACUCAGACUGGACCGAAACCAUCAGCUCUCCUGGGCCUCCAGCUUGCCAACGACAGGUCUUGGGACUUGCCCCUUCCAUAAGUGCUUGAGCCAGGUCUUCAGGAUAAAUCUCUUUCCACCUAUCCUGUUGGUUGUAUUUCUCUGGAUAACUCAGACUAAUACAAGCCAGUCCUUCCAUG
rnacentral:antisense_RNA from 1 species